rnacentral:misc_RNA from 1 species
AACCUUAUGGACCUGCGGGCGUAUACCUGCGGAAGGAUCAUUACAAGUGACCCCGGUCUAACCACCGGGAUGUUCAUAACCCUUUGUUGUCCGACUCUGUUGCCUCCGGGGCGACCCUGCCUUCGGGCGGGGGCUCCGGGUGGACACUUCAAACUCUUGCGUAACUUUGCAGUCUGAGUAAACUUAAUUAAUAAAUUAAAACUUUCAGCAACGGAUCU